rnacentral:rRNA from 1 species
CAAUAGCGUAUAUUAAAGUUGUUGCAGUUAAAAAGCUCGUAGUUGGAUUUCUGUGAGAGUGCCGGCGUCGGCUGAUGCUUGUACGCAGGCGCUCUUACAUCCUUCUGUUAACUCAUCUUGGCAUUUUAUUGCUGGUUGAGGGCUCAGAUAUUUUACCUUGAGAAAAUUAGAGUGUUUCAGGCAGGCUUAUGCCGGAAUACAUUAGCAUGGAAUAAUGGAACAGGACCUGUGCGUCUCUCGGGGCGCCGGUCUCCGUUAUUGGUUUCGGGGACUAAUGUAAUGAUUAAUAGGGAUAGUUGGGGGCAUUAGUAUUUAAUAGUCAGAGGUGAAAUUCUCGGAUUUGUUAAAGACUAACUUAUGCGAAAGCAUUUGCCAAGGAUGUUUNCAUUAA